rnacentral:tRNA from 8 species
ACCCCAAAUAUAAAGUUUAAACUUUUUUUAGAA